GAUCUACGGGGGGCUGGAAAGGUGCCAGUCUGGGUAAGGCGCCGAAGAAUGAAGCAUCAGUCGUAAGACUCUUAUGCAUUGAUCCUUUAUAGAUUAAUGAUAAGCAGAUUGAAAAUGUUUUAGAGAAUGUGAUAUGGCGACUGGAGUCGUUUUGAAUGGCCUUGUGGCGCACGCGGGAAAAUUAAGGUGAAGGAGAGGCUCUACCUUACUUGGGCACUGAAUGGAUCCCCGAAAUAAAUCAAAGCCCAUGGCAGGGUACGGCUCUACAAGCCGGGGAUGAUGAAACAAAACUAUCUCUUCCUUGAAGAGUCGUACCUGGCUUUGGGUGCCGUCUUCACGUCGCUCACGGGCGCCUCCUAGCGGUUGGUUACGGCUCUGCUCUAACGAGGACUGCACCUGUACUGGCGACGACUGGCAGCUUGCUGAGAAUUUAUUGCGUUAACGUUCAUAGAUAACGUCCUUGACAGAAACUUGUAAGAGAAACCGUGUAACAGCGCCACCCUGCAGAGAAUAAUUGUAUUGCAGCAUUCAUCAGCAAACAGGAUUUGAGGGAUGACUAUACUAGUGCUAUUGUAUGUUCAGAUAUUUUGCAACAUAGCAACAAAUUACAUUUACUAUCAGCAGAAACAUUGUGAUCAAAUGAACCCUAAUGGGGUCUGAAAAAGGCUUAGGUUCGGUAGACUGGAAGCCAGCCUCUGAGGCUUUAUAUAUUGAACAGUUCCCAGGAUCAGUGACGGCUCCAUAAGCAGGGGCUGUGUGCCAGGCUAGCCCCUGGUUGUUGGGCCGAUACCUGGCUUUGUGGAAAAUACAUCCUAAACUCAGUACACUGGAACAAGUAUGGUAAAUGCAUUUCUGCUGUUGAUUAGAUGAAUAAAGAGUAAUAGAUGUAGUUAUUGUUCCAUUUCCCAC